ensembl:lncRNA
CUUUCCAUAGCCAUAACAUCCUUUCCUUACUCUCAAAUUGUAUAUCUAUCUAUCUUUAAGACUGCACACAGUGGUCAGUAGCUCAUGACUUGUUUUUGUAAUGAAUAAAUGGGAAGAACAACCAUAAAACACUCAUCUAAAGACGAGCUGACUUUCUGUGGAAAAUAGCAGCAAAGUUGAAAAAGAAGUCACAAUAAUCCGGCUUCUUGCACACAAAAAUAAUAAAAGACAAAUAAAACCAGAGGGAAAUAAAGAUAAAGUUUUUCUUUAUUUCCAAGCUACCAAAGAACAAAAGUGAAUUCCCAGAUGGUGGAGACUUUGAUUCGUUCUGAGAGAAACGCACAUUGUCAAAAAAUGUGUCUGGGUACCGGGGAGGGCAGAACCCUGGGUUUUACAGAAGGAGGGGAUGAAGAGCCUGCUCUUUCUCUCACAGCACUGCCUGCCUGCCUGCCUGUGUGCGUGCAAAGAGUUACAGUCAGUGUCAGAAUGGGUAAUAUUAAUAAAUGGGUCUUAAAUACAUCUAAAACCAAAAGCAUUGUAUUUGAUUCAAAGCAUUCUCUUAGACUUAAACCUCAACUUGAGUUGUGCGUAAAGGGUAUAACCAUUGAACAUCGGAUCCUAGGAGUGACAUUGGAUGGUCAGUUAUCAUGGUCAAGUCAUAUGGCCAAAGUUGUAGUGAAGAUGGGGAGAGGUAUGUCUGUUAUAAAAAAAGAAGUUCUGUGUUUUUGACACAAAGAUCAACUUUGAUUCAGGCUUUGAUCUUGUCCAAUCUCGAUUACUGUCCAGUAAUAUGGUCAGGUGCUGCAAAGAAAGACCUAGCAAAGUUGCAGCUGGCUCAAGCACGCACAGAACUAACAUCAACAGCAUGCAUAAUAGUCUUUCAUGGUUGAGGAGAAAUGUACUUAUCUUAUAGUCUUUGUAGCCCAUUCCUGCAGUCAAUGGCCUCAUGGGUGGAAUGUUAUUCAUAUUUUUUCAUAGUUUAAUAAUCAAUACAGAUUACUCCCCCCCCCCAAAAAAUAAAAAUAAAUCUGGUGUUGAUGUCAAAUGGUUUUGUUAUAUUUCUCUUCUUCUGUGAUGUAUAUCAAGUGUAAUAUUGGGGUGCAAACUCUGUCGUAGUACAGGUGUCUUCUUUUUGUUAAGCCCAUAACCAUGUGUGUGAGGUGCAUACUUUUGUUUCAAAGUAGAUUUGUUUAAUCACUCUGUGUGACCCUGAUUUAGCUCACUACAGUAAAAGGUUAAGCAACAUUUGAGUGUUGAAAAUGCCUAACUACUUGUAUAAUCCAAUUGCAUACACUUCAAACAGACAUACAUACCCCACCAGACAUGCCACUAUGGGUUUCUUCAUGGUACCCAAACCAAAAACAGAUUUAAUGCAUCACUCAGUUAUCUAUAGCGCCAUGCCAUCUUGGAAUGUUAUGCCACCAGAGGUUACUCAGGAAAAAAGCAAGUUUAGCUUUAAAAAAACAGAUAAAAUCAUCUUGUGUCACAGCACCUCUCCUCUUUCUAAAUACCUAAUUUAACUGUACUGUAUACAGUGCAUUUGAAAAGUAUUCAGACCCCUUGUCUUUUUCCACAUUUUGUUACGUUACAGCCUUAUUCUAAAAUUGAUUAAAUAGUUUUUGUUCCUCAGCAAUCUACACAAUACCCCAUAAUGACAAUGUGAAAACAGGUUUUUGGAAAUGUUUGCAAAUGUAUUACAAAUAAAAAACAGAAAUAGCUUAAUUACAUAAGUAUUCAGACCCUUUGCUACGAGACUCGAUAUAAAUUGAGCGCAGGUGCAUCCUGUUUCCAUUGAUCAUCCUUAAGAUGUUUCUACAACUUCAUUAGAGUCCACCUGUGGUAAAUUCAAUUGAUUGGACAUGAUUUGGAAAGGCACACACCUGUCUAUAUAAGGUCCAAAAGUUGACAGUGCAUGUCAACAAAAGAAACAAGCCAGGAGGUUGAAGGAAUUGUCUGUAGUAUUGAGGCACAGAUCUGGGGAAGGGUACCAAAACGUUUCUGUCACAUUGAAGGUCCGCAUGUACACAGUGGCCUUAAUCAUUCUUAAAUGGAAAACGUUUGGAUCCACCAAGACUCUUCCUAGACCUGGGCAGCUGGCCAAAUUGAGAAAUCGGUGCAGAAGGGCCUUGGUCAGGGAGGUGACCAAGAACCCGAUGGUCACUCUGACAGAGCUCCAGAGUUCCUCUGUGGAGAUGGGAGAACCUUCCAGAAGGACAACCAUCUUUGCAGCACUCCACCGAUCAGGCCUUAGUAGUGGCCAUACGAAAGCCAAUCCUCAGUAAAAGGCACAUGACAGCCCGCUUAGAGUUUGCCAAAAGACACCUAAAGACUCUCAGACCAUGAUAAGCAAGGUUCUCUGGUCUGAUGAAACCAAGAUUGAAUUAUUUGGCCAGAAUGCCGAGCGUCAGAAUGCUUCAUCCCUACGGUGAAGCAUGGUGGUGACGGCAUCAUGCUGUGGGGAUGUUUUACACCGGCAGAGACUGGGAGACUAUUCCAAAUACAGGUGUGUCAAGAUUGUAGCGUCAUACCCAAGGAGACUCGAGGCUGUAAUCUCUGCCAAAGGUGCUUCAACAAAGGUCUGAAUACUUUUGUAAAUGGGAUAUUUAAGUUUUUAUUUUUAAUAAACUAGCAACAAUUUCAACAAAAAAAGUUUGCUUUGUUAUUAUGGCUUAUUGUGUAGAUUGACAAGGGGGAAAAACGAUUUAAUACAUUUUAGAAUAAGGCUGUAACGUAACAAAGUGGAGUCUGAAUACUUUCUGAAGGCACUGUGUAAGAACAUUAAUAUGUAUACAUGAAUAGUGUGUAACAAGUAUUUUGGAUGUCUCUUGAUGUCUUUACACUAUAUAACUGUCUAUUGUUAAUUUUUUAUUUAAUGUAAUAUCUUGUGGUGUUCUUGCCUAUAACUGUUCUGUACUUUGUCAUGUAUUUGUACAUUUUAUGUGGACCCCAGGAAGAGUAGC